rnacentral:pre_miRNA from 1 species
CCAGCCGGGUCAGUGAGGUGUUUUGUAUUGCUAAUAAAUACUGCACUUGUCCCGGCCUGGCA